CCUACGGGUGGCAGCAGUGGGGAAUAUUGCACAAUGGGGGAAACCCUGAUGCAGCGACGCCGCGUGAGUGAAGAAGUAAUUCGUUACGUAAAGCUCUAUCAGCAGGGAAGAAAUACUGACCUUACGGUCAGCAGACAGUACCUGAGUAAGAAGCCCCGGCUAACUACGUGCCAGCGGCCGCGGUAAGACGUGGGGGGCAAGCGUUAUCCGGAUGUACGGGGUGUAAAGGGAGCGGAGACGGUUCGCCAAGUCAGGAGUGAAAUGCCGCAGCUUAACUGCGGAACUGCUUUUGAAACUGGAGAACUAGAGUGCGGGAGGGGUUAGCGGAAUUCCUAGUGUAGCGGUGAAAUGCGUAGAGAUUAGGAGGAACACCGGUGGCGAAGGCGGCUUACUGGACCGUAACUGACGUUGAGGCUCGAAAGCGUGGGGAGCAAACAGGAUUAGAUACCCUUGUAGUC
rnacentral:rRNA from 1 species